UACAGAGGCCUCAAGCGUUGUUCGGAUUCAUUGGGCGUAAAGGGUGUGUAGGUGGCGCGCUAAGUCGGGUGUGAAAUUUCGGAGCUUAACUCCGAAACUGCAUUCGAUACUGGCGUGCUUGAGGACUGGAGAGGAGACUGGAAUUCAUGGUGUAGCAGUGAAAUGCGUAGAUAUCUGAAGGAACACCAGUGGCGAAAGCGGCUUCCUGGUCCAGUACCGACGUUCAGGCACGAAAGCGUGGGGAGCAAACAGG
rnacentral:rRNA from 1 species